rfam:Flavobacterium sp. ov086 genome assembly, contig: Ga0070134_113
UUUUAGCCCCGAUAGUAGUGAAAAUCCUUUUGUGUCCGCCGCGGCGGACACAAAAGAUUGUAACGGAUAGCGGGAUUAGCU